UAAUACGAACUGCGCGAACGUUAUUCGGAUUCACUGGGCUUAAAGGGUGCGUAGGCGGCCUGUUAAGUAGGGCGUGAAAUCUGUCGGCUCAACCGGCAAAUUGCGUUCUAAACUGGCAGGCUUGAGUGGGUUAGGGGUGUGUGGAACUUCCGGUGGAGCGGUGAAAUGUGUUGAUAUCGGAAGGAACACCGGUGGCGAAAGCGACACACUGGGGCCUGUCUGACGCUGAGGCACGAAAGCCAGGGUAGCGAACGGGAUUAGAUACCCCGGUAGUCCUGGCUGUAAACGAUGAGCACUAGGUUGGGGGGGCUUGUUCCUCCCAGCCGUAGCGAAAGCGUUAAGUGCUCCGCCUGGGGAGUAUGGUCGCAAGGCUG
rnacentral:rRNA from 1 species